UCGAACGAAAUUCACGAGCAAGAUAGCUCAUAGCAAAUAAGUGAUUAAGAAGUAAUUUUGGAAAAUGCUUGCUCAACGACAGUCGGGAAAAUAAUAAUUGAUCAUGUCCGAAUGAAAUCCUAAUACAAAAUAAAGAGUGAAAGGUAUUGUGGAUAACUCCAGAGUAGCAAUAAAAAUUGAAAAAAAUUAGAAAAUUUCUAAUAUAGCAUGAAGGAAAAUAACGCAACAAAUCAAUUCUGAAAACAGAUUUAAUCAAUGCAUAAAAUUACUGAUUAUAGAUACAGGAUGUGGUCAAAGUCCGGCAACGGCUAAUUAUUUCCAAAUUUAAUUGACCUUGAAAAUCGACCUCAAGGUCGACUUCUAAGUCGCCAUCAAAAAUAAUUAACCAUAACUGUCUCCACCUCCAGAGGUUGAGGGGUGCUUUUUACUCCUAGAAAGCGUAUUUAGCCGAAACAAAAAAACACGUAUUUAAUAUUUUUCGGUAUUUAAUAAGUAUGUUAAGUUUCAUUCAAAUCGGUGAGUAUCAGUUGGGUAGUGUUACUUGUAAGUGCAACUCUAGUAAAUUAAACUUUACGUUUUUAUUUUAAAUCUUUAAAAAAACAGUAUAUCUCUAUAUGCUCCUAUUUACAAAUAUCAUACUUACAAAAUAAUUCUGAAUGAUUUUGGUUGAAAAACAGGAAAUGCCUACUUAUUUCACAGGUCUCCAUGAGAGGUCUCUGUGCAGAUCAGAGAGUCUAGAGUACCUCUAAUAAGAAUACAGACACCGUCCCUAUAGCAGCUAUGUUUGAGACCAGAAAACCGGAAAUUCAUCUGUAUGCGCGGAAUGUUUAAAUUCUGCUAAAAGAGAUAUCAAGCAAGAUAUUUAAAUUUAAUUUUGAUGACUUAUGAAAUUACAUUUAUGUUACUAUAAUUGUAAGAUAGG